rnacentral:rRNA from 1 species
UACGUAGGGACCGAGCGUUGUCCGGAAUCAUUUGGGCGUAAAGAGCGUGUAGGCGGCCACUUAAGUCCUGCGUGAAAUCUUGCGGCUCAACCGCAAGCGGUCGUGGGAAACUGGGUGGCUAGAGUGCGGGAGAGGAGAGUGGAAUUCCUGGUGUAGCGGUGGAAUGCGCAGAUAUCAGGAAGAACACCCGUGGCGAAGGCGGCUCUCUGGAACGCAACUGACGCUGAGACGCGAAAAGCGUGGGGGAGCAAACAGG